ensembl:lncRNA
UUUUCCUCUGUGUUAGUACUGGUAGCUCUGUGCAUAAUAAAUUACGGUAUACAACAUAUUCCUUAUUUAAAUGAAUUUUGUUGAGUACCAAACCUAUUUCUGGUCAUAUUAUUUAAUGAUCCCUCUAACUCAGGAAGGAUAAUUCUAAGAAAACUGUUUCACAGGUAUAGCUCCUAGAACAUAAAAAAUCUGUAGAAGCUAGCUGAGAAUUCUGCAAGCAUGUCUGAAUGCCAAAUCAACUGAGCAGCUCCCUGGCUCAUGCACAUGCAAAACAUUUGAAUUUCCUGUUGGCUCAGAGACUUUUAGGAACCAGGCCACAGAUGCCUUGGACUUGGAAUUCAACUUGCAAGAGAGAGCAAGUCUGACCAGCAGGAGAUGGACCAUCUUCCUGAGAAGAGAUCCUGAAGCAUUGUACAAGCUGGAGAUUUUCAUUCCAAAUCAGACCUCACAAAACAUGAGGCAGAUAAACAUAAGGUGUAGACCACAUUUAUAAAAAGAUUUUUUUAAAUAUCGCUUUCCAACAAAUCAUUAGUCUUUUAUUUUUUUUUCUCUGCACAUAUGAAGUGACAGAAAAUCAAUAUCUGAAGGAAAGAGAGCAGCUGGGAACCUGGAGUUCAGCAUAGACAUUUUGCAUAAUAGAGAAUUCUUGUUUUCCAAGAAGCAAAAACAAGAAAAAUUAUUUUGUAUCCACUUUGCCUCCAGAUUUAAUUUAUUCAUUUUUUUUAGUAGAAAAAGGUGGAUUCUUUUUGGGAGAACUAUCAAACAACAAAGUGUCUGGAUGUCAUAGCAGCAUCCUGUAAAUGUCACUUUAGUUUCACCAGUGGUGAAACCUGUUUUGACCUUCUAGUAUGGAAAAAUAGCCCAAACGGCCUGUUUAAUAUACCAGAGAAAGCACAGUGUCUCCAAAGGGCCUGGCCUAAGUGAGCACCCAGAAUCCCAGAAAGCCAGGAAAUUUGAAGGCAGUCAGACUUGAUUUAAUUUUUUUUACUACAAGUCUCAUUUCAGAGAAUGAUUAACGGGAGAAGAGACAUAAAUGGCAAAGUCUUGAUCAAAGAAGCUGCUGUCAGGGUACCAUCUAGAUAAAUUAGGAAAAGAAUGCUCAGGUUUCUGUGAAAGAAGACUAAUGACAUCAAGUCAAGAUGAAAUAGAAAGAAGCAGCAUUGCAGGCUGGAAAUCAUAAAAGACUAGCCUGCCCUGACAAGAAGCCCUGAGAAAUUUCCCGAACUGGAAAGUAAUUGGAAUUGGAAAGGAAUUACUUUCUGUAAGUGCUGGGUCUUGAAGUUAUGCAGGACUGAAGAUGACCCAGGUACCAAACUUGCCUUUUGGAACCUGUCAAGACAAGUGAAGGAAUCUUCUGGAGGCAUCUGAAAGAGCAGCUGUUAGUAUCAGCUCUACACACUGCAGGUGUUCUGCAUCCCAUGUGCUCACUCUACUCAGCUAGGAUCAGUCCUUCCACUUAAAACCUCAAACGGGCCCACCUCAAGUGGGAGGCAAGUAGACAGUGGGUAAAAGGAGACUGUGAAACCAACAGCCAGUAAACAUUUGGGUAAUUUGGAGAACUUGUUUACAGGAAUGGCUGUCUCCUGGAGAGAGCAGUUGUUCUUGCUGGAAUUAAGAAAAAGCUUUACAAGUGAUCUGAAUGUACUUGUGCGAAGAGAGGCAUCUUAGAAAGUGGGAUUUGUCUUUUGGUAUACCAUAAAGGAUUUUAAAAAUGUAAAUAAAAAAACCUCCAAACCUCUUUCA